rnacentral:tRNA from 1 species
GAGGGUAUAGCUCAGUGGCACAGCACAUGCUUAGCAUGCAUGAGGUCCUGGGUUCAAUCUCUGUACCUGUU